rnacentral:rRNA from 1 species
GUGUCAGCAGCCGCGGUAAUACAGAGGGGGCGAGCGUUAUUCGGAAUUAUUGGGCGUAAAGGGCGCGUAGGCGGCUUUUCAAGUGACGGGUGAAAUCCCUCGGCUUAACCGAGGAACUGCCUGUCAGACUGGAAGGCUUGAGACCGGGAGAGGUGAGUGGAAUUCCCAGUGUAGCGGUGAAAUGCGUAGAUAUUGGGAGGAACACCAGUGGCGAAGGCGGCUCACUGGACCGGAACUGACGCUGAGGCGCGAAAGCGUGGGGAGCAAACAGGAUUAGAUACCCUGGUAGUCCACGCCGUAAACGAUGAGUGCUUGGUGUAGCGGGUAUCGACCCCUGCUGUGCCGAAGUCAACACAUUAAGCACUCCGCCUGGGGAGUACGGUCGCAAGACUGAA